ensembl:lncRNA COSMOC cell fate and sterol metabolism associated divergent transcript of MOCOS
UCCGCCCCCGCCACGCCUCCCAGGCCUCCAGCCUCCCAGUCUCUCGGAAUCCGCAGCCUAGGUGUGGCGCCCCGACCGGACUUUCACUUCUGGCCAGCCCUUUCCCCACCUGGGCGCGGGAGCGGGUGCCAGUCUUUAAACAACCUCUCGAUGGGUCCCACGAAGAUGUUUCCAGACCCUUGGAAUGCCAAGUUCAAGUUUAGCUAUGUCUCGCGGAGAGGCCGGUGGAAGAAGCAACGAGGUGAUCUUUCCUGCUUGGCAUCGGCAUCCUGGAACCCCGCGACCCUCCUCCUCGCAGGGGUCUCGGGACCCUCACCCUCUCAAGCGGGAACCGGCGUCUGGCGGGGGCGGGGGUGGGGGCGUUCUCGGGUUGCUGCUACCCAGCGGGGCGUGUGCUUGCCGUUUGUUAGAAUGCGGCUGACCAAAGGGUAGAAAAGGGGAAAGAUUAGGGAUCCACGAGGCUAAUAAAUUCUCAGUGGCUGCACACUUUC